CAGUGAAGCUUCCACUGUUCUUACCAUUCCCUCUGUGGCCUCGGGGGACCCAAUGGUGGUAGAGCACUGGAUGGUUUCUCAAUGA
ensembl:miRNA Mir5108 microRNA 5108